rnacentral:rRNA from 1 species
ACGAAGGUCCCAAGCGUUGUUCGGAAUCACUGGGCGUAAAGGGUGCGUAGGUGGUGCGGUAAGUCAGAUGUGAAAUCCCGGGGCUCAACCUCGGAACUGCAUCCGAUACUACCGUACUUGAGGACUGGAGAGGAGACUGGAAUUCUCGGUGUAGCAGUGAAAUGCGUAGAGAUCGAGAGGAACACUCGUGGCGAAAGCGAGUCUCUGGACAGUUCCUGACACUGAGGCACGAAGGCCGGGGUAGCGAAAGGG